rnacentral:rRNA from 1 species
AUUGAACGCUGGCGGGAGGCCUAACACAUGCAAGUCGAGCGAGCGGCGGACGGGUGAGUAAUGUAUGGGGACUGCCCGAUAGCGGGGGAUAACUACUGGAAACGGUGGCUAAUACCGCAUACUAUCGGAUAACCCAUAUGGGAUUAGCUAGUAGGUGGGGUAAAGGCUCACCAAGGCGACGAUCCCUAGCUGGUUUGAGAGGAUGAUCAGCCACACUGGGACUGAGACACGGCCCAGACUCCUACGGAGGCAGCAGUGGGGAAUAUUGCACAAUGGGGGCAAGCCUGAUGCAGCCAUGCCGCGUGUAUGAAGAAGGCCUUAGGGUUGUAAAGUACUUUCAGCAGAGAAGCGUUACCCGCAGAAGAAGCACCGGCUAACUCCGUGCCAGCAGCCGCGGUAAUAC